GAACUGCUGAGGAGUCUCAUAAUAGGACGAAACGGCCGUCCAGUGU
rnacentral:hammerhead_ribozyme from 1 species